rnacentral:rRNA from 1 species
GCAAGUCGAGCGAACAGACGAGGAGCUUGCUCCUUUGACGUUAGCGGCGGACGGGUGAGUAACACGUAGGUAACCUACCUAUAAGACUGGGAUAACUUCGGGAAACCGGAGCUAAUACCGGAUGAUAUUUCGAACCGCAUGGUUCGAUAGUGAAAGAUGGCUCUGCUAUCACUUAUAGAUGGACCUGCGCCGUAUUAGCUAGUUGGUAAGGUAACGGCUUACCAAGGCAACGAUACGUAGCCGACCUGAGAGGGUGAUCGGCCACACUGGAACUGAGACACGGUCCAGACUCCUACGGGAGGCAGCAGUAGGGAAUCUUCCGCAAUGGGCGAAAGCCUGACGGAGCAACGCCGCGUGAGUGAUGAAGGUCUUCGGAUCGUAAAACUCUGUUAUUAGGGAAGAACAUACGUGUAAGUAACUGUGCACGUCUUGACGGUACCUAAUCAGAAAGCCACGGCUAACUACGUGCCAGCAGCCGCGGUAAUACGUAGGUGGCAAGCGUUAUCCGGAAUUAUUGGGCGUAAAGCGCGCGUAGGCGGUUUUUUAAGUCUGAUGUGAAAGCCCACGGCUCAACCGUGGAGGGUCAUUGGAAACUGGAAAACUUGAGUGCAGAAGAGGAAAGUGGAAUUCCAUGUGUAGCGGUGAAAUGCGCAGAGAUAUGGAGGAACACCAGUGGCGAAGGCGACUUUCUGGUCUGUAACUGACGCUGAUGUGCGAAAGCGUGGGGAUCAAACAGGAUUAGAUACCCUGGUAGUCCACGCCGUAAACGAUGAGUGCUAAGUGUUAGGGGGUUUCCGCCCCUUAGUGCUGCAGCUAACGCAUUAAGCACUCCGCCUGGGGA